rnacentral:rRNA from 1 species
GUAGGGAAUAUUGCGCAAUGGGGGAAACCCUGACGCAGCAACGCCGCGUGAGUGAGGAAGGUCUUCGGAUUGUAAAACUCUUUUAUUAGGGAAAAAUGUCUAGGUGGCUAAUAUCCACUUAGAGUGAUGGUACCUAAGGAAUAAGCACCGGCUAACUUCGUGCCAGCAGCCGCGGUAAUACGAAGGGUGCAAGCGUUGUUCGGAAUCAUUGUGCGUAAAGCGCGCGCAGGCGGGUCAGUAAGUCAGGUGUGAAAUCUCGGAGCUCAACUCCGAAACUGCGCCUGAAACUAUUGGUCUAGAGUAUCGGAGGGGACAGGGGAAUUUCACGUGUAGGGGUAAAAUCCGUAGAGAUGUGAAGGAACACCGGAGGCGAAGGCGCCUGUCUGGACGAUUACUGACGCUGAGGCGCGAAAGCGUGGGGAGCAAACAGGAUUAGAAACCCUAGUAGUCC